rnacentral:rRNA from 1 species
GGGGAAAAAUUAAUAAAGUGUUAAAUUAAUAAAAAAAAUUUUAAUAUAAUAAUAUUUUAAUUGGGGAGUUGAAGUAUUUUUUAUAGAAAAAAUUUUAAAAUUUAUAGUAAAUUAGUAAUGUAAAUGAAAUUUGAAAAAUUAGUGAAAAUUUAAUUUAUUAAAAAGUAAUUUUAAUUUAAUGUAUCUUGUGUAUCAGAGUUUAUUAAUUAUUUUUUAAAAGUUUAAAUUUCUCGAAUUAAAAAGAGUUAAUUAAUUAAUUAAUUUAUUGUAGUAUAAAUAUUUAUAAUAGUUAAUUUGAAAUGAAAUGUUAAUCGUUUUUUAAGAUAUCUAGUUUUUUUAGAAAAAAAUUUAAUUUUGGAAUUAUUUUAAAUUAAUUAAUUUUUUUUUUAAUUAAUUAAUUAAUAAUUUAAAUAUUUAAAGGGAUAAGCUUUUAAAUAUAGUAUUAUAAAAAUUAAUUAUUAUUAAAAAUUUUUUAGAAUUUAUAUUGUUUAAAAAAUUUAGUUUAUUAUAAAUAAUUUUAAUUUAAAGAAAAAUUUAAUUUUUUUUUUAAUUUUUUAUAAAAAUAUUAUUUAAAUUAAUUUAAAUUAAAAAAUAAUGAUAAAAUUAGUAUAUUUUUUUUUUAUAUUUUUAGGUUAUAAAAAAAAUUUAAGGUUAAUAAAAAGAAUUCGGCAAAAAUUUAUAUUCACCUGUUUAUCAAAAACAUGUCUUUUUGAUUAUAAUUUAAAGUCUAGUCUGCCCACUGAUAAAAAAAUUAAAGGGCUGCAGUAUUUUGACUGUACAAAGGUAGCAUAAUAAAUAGUCUCUUAAUUAGUGACUUGUAUGAAUGAUUGGAUGAAAUAUAAACUGUUUCUUAUUUAUUUAAUAUAAUUUAAUUUUUUAAUUAAAAAGUUAAAAUAAUUUUAAAAGACGAGAAGACCCUAUAGAGUUUUAUAUAAAUUAUAAUUAAAUUAUUAUUUAAAAUUUUAAAAAAUUAAUUUUAAUAUGUAUUUUGUUGGGGUGAUAGAAAAAUUAAAUAAACUUUUUUUUAGUUUUAACAUUAAUAAAUGAUUAAUUUGAUCCAUAUUUUAUGAUUAUAAGAAAAAAUUACCUUAGGGAUAACAGCGUAAUUUUUUUUUUUAGUUCAAAUAAGAAAAAAAGUUUGCGACCUCGAUGUUGGAUUAAGGUAAAAUUUAAAUGCAAAAGUUUAAAAUUUUGAUCUGUUCGAUCAUUAAAAUCUUACAUGAUCUGAGUUCAAACCGGUGUGAGCCAGGUUGGUUUCUAUCUUUAAAUUUAUAAAAUAUUUUAGUACGAAAGGAUUUGAUAUUUGAAAUAAUUUUAAUUAAUGUGAAUUAUAAUAAAUUUUAAAAUAAAAUUUUUAGUUUUAGGG